GAUCCUGGCUCAGAUUGAACGCUGGCGGCAGGCUUAACACAUGCAAGUCGAACGGUAACAGGAGUAAAGCUUGCUUUCUUGCUGACGAGUGGCGGACGGGUGAGUAAUGCUUGGGAAUCUGGCUUAUGGAGGGGGAUAACGGACGGGAAACUGUCGCUAAUACCGCGUAGAGUCGAGAGACGAAAGUGCGGGACCGCAAGGCCGCAUGCCAUAGGAUGAGCCCAAGUGGGAUUAGGUAGUUGGG
rnacentral:rRNA from 1 species